CCCCUCCCACGAUGGCGCCUGGAGAGUUUCCAGUCCUCUACCAGUCUCGACUACAGGAGGGAGAGUGAAGAAGAGGCCUACCCAUUCCAUUUCUAGCUUGGGCAGUGGCUAGUGAGUGGAAGACAAUUUGCUACAAGU